rnacentral:sRNA from 1 species
UCCGGGGAUAGGCAGGCCAGCCGAAAGCGGGAGAACCCCUUCCCGUUUUCCCGGAUAAACCAUAGGGG